rnacentral:lncRNA from 1 species
UGAUGAGGUGAGUGUAGGCAACGAGGAUAGCUAUAUAUCGUAUCAUCGUGAGGCUAUUCUUGAACCCCUUCACGCACUAAGCAUGGUGGGAAGAACUUAACUAAGUGCAAUGGAACCAAUAUCAUAUCAUUGUGAGGUUACAUUCUCUAGAGGCCAAAUAAGAUGGGUACUUGCAUUAGUUGCAAAUGAGUAAGCGUACUCUCUCAUUAUUAUUGUUGCUAGCCAUAUAUCGUAUCAUCGUGAGGUGGGCUUGAUAAUAGUGAGCCUCCCAUAACCUACUAAGAGUUUCAUCCAAAACUCUCGAAUUCCAAUGAGGGAUAUGGAAUUUGCCAAAAAUAGUGGGUGAUGCUAUUUGAUUUAAAGACCCGAAUCAAAUGGCUUAAAAUCAAUCAAUUUAUAUACGUUAUGUAUUUGUUUACCAAUAU